rnacentral:lncRNA from 1 species
UGAAAAGAAGGGGGGAGAGGAAAAAAAGUUUCGUAGCCUUUUGAAAAAGGGACGAUCCCUUUCGUUUUCUUCUGGAGAAAUCAACACCAAAAGAAACGAUCCCACCCCCCUUUGGAUCGUCUUCUUCACGAAACCACCCCGCCCCUCUCCCAGUCGUUAUCCUUCGAACACGACCCCCCCUCUCCAUCGAUCUGGAAUUCUUUUUCUCCAAAUCCUUUCACUAACCUAACGACCGGAGGGAUAAAGAAAAACAAAGCAAUUGCAGCUUCUUCAAUUCCUCUCGCCCACCAGCGGCGAACUCGCCAAAACACACACAUACAGCUUCCUUCUUGCUUCUUCUUCAGCAACCAAGACAAAGCCAUCGCUCCGACCCCUGAACGCUAAUCGUCAAACGACCCCAUAUCUGCCUGAAAUUCGCCGGAAAAACGAGCUCCACCAAUUGUCGGACUAAUGAGUUCCAGACGCGACCCCUUCCUCAAGUGACCAAACUAGCUUCUUCAUCACCAUAGCUAGCCGGGAGUCUAAUGACAUCCUUCGAGCUCUAGAACUAACGAACAAAGGUGCUGAAAAUAGUGAGGAGUCGCAAAACUCAUUUAACACCCUUUUCCGGCGAGUCUCGAGUUUCUGGUUGAGCUUCGAUGACUGAGUUUCAACGACUGUUUCCCUUGGUUCCUUGUCGAAGUCCGUUCACUGGUUCCAUUUAGUUUAAAGGUCCGAUAGCUGUUCUUCGAGUUGAAAUUUAGAGUUGUUCGUUGUUGAUUGCCGGAUUUGUUGGCUGUUGUUGGCUGAGCUUCGAUUUCAAGUAGUUGGAUGCCUGUUCCCAUCAUAUUUGCCCAAUUGCAUUGAGUCGCCUGAAUUUGUUAUUACUAAUUGCUUCCUGGCUUCACUGCAAUCUACAGCCGAACCUUUUUCCUCAGGUGUGUGUUUGACCUUUUCUCUGUUUCGAAGCAGAGUAUUUACUCUGUUUGGAGACUGUGUGUGUUCUGCUGCAGCUGCUGCAUAAGUGAUCAAAAUUUUAUUCCUUUGGUCAUUUGAACAUAAUGUAAUUGCUGUAGCUGUUUCGAUGCUUUUCUUUAUUGAGUCUGCAUUUGCAGCUGAUACAUAUUCCUCCCUCCCGCUUUCAAUUUUAGACUGAGUGACAUUCUCCAUUUUUGCCAUUGGAUCAGUGUUAACAACAUUUCCAUUUGAAUUGCAUUAUAACUAUUUCAGUGAUGGAGUUUAAUGAGAAAUUGAUAAAUUUGUUUGGUUAGUGAUUAUUUAGAUCCACAUUGUCUAAAAUGGAUUUGGCUUUUAAAGGAAAGAUAAUUUUGGAAAGAACAGUGAAUUGCCUUAGAAUCAUGCAGGUUAAUCAGAAACUGGUUUGAGUUUAAACGCGAAAGAGAAAUUAGACUUUAAAGGUUUUAUUGCUUCUGUAUUAUUGUUUUACUAGCUAGCAAUACGUUUCUGAGCCAUGGGACUUGGACUUAAUAUUUUUAAGAAUUUGAGUUGAAAUGACCAUGAAUUGAACUUUUAUUUUAUUAUUUUUUUUAUUUCUACUUUUCUUGUUAACCAUUAGCAACAUCUUUAGUCCGAGGUGAGCCAUUCACAAUUUAAUAAAACAUGGCCCUCGUAUUAAUUUCAUAACCUAGAUAUAAAAAUGACAAUGGUUCGUAGUUUGCUUUUGGCACGUUUAAUAUACUAUCGUGGUUGUGGACACGUUCACGUGACAUGGUUACGAUUUUCUAAAAAUAAAACCGGAGUAUGCGUUCGCGCAACUUUGACCAAAUAUUCUUAAUAAUAAUAAAUCAUUAUUAAUUAUGGACACGUUCGCGUGACAUGAUUUUUGACAUGCCAAACAAACGGGUACACGUACGCGUGACUUGUUUCAAGAUGUUUUCUUAAUUAAAAGAGUUAAAAGCACAUAGGUUCUAAAACGAGUAAUUAAACAAUUUUAAUAAGCCAAGUAUGAUCAAAGCGACCGUGCUAGAACCACGGAACUCGGGAGUGCCUAACACCUUCUCCCGGGUUAACAGAAUUCCUUACCCGGAUUUUUGUGUUCGCAGACUAUAGUACAAAGUCAAUCUUUUCCUCGAUUCGGGAUUCGAACCGGUGACUUGGGACACCAUAAAUUAUCCCAAGUGGCGACUCUGAAUUUUUAAACAAACAAAUCCCGUUUCGACUGUCCUUUAAUUGGAAAAACUCCCUUAUAUUUAUACCCUUUGCGGGGUGUAGUAAAAAAGGAGGUGUGACAGCUCUGGCGACUCUGCUGGGGACCGAACCCAGAAUCUCUUGUUCAGGGUUCAAGAAUUCGAGCUUGUUAAUGAUUUUUACUUGGCUUCAUUUAUUGUUAAUAUUACUGUAUUCUGUGAAUCUUUUGUGCUAAAUGUUAUUUGUUUACUGCUUUAUUAUUGUUUGAAUUGUAUAUAAAUGUUUUCUUACGCCACCUCUCUGAGUCUUCUGAAAAUGGUGCACACGUUCGCGUGGCGCGCUUUUUCUAUAGAAAUUAUACCAAAUAGAACGAGGCUGGGCAAGCGACAAGGCCGGGUAGACUUCAGUGCUCCCGAUACGUCGCCCCCUCUUCGGCCUCAAUUGUCUGCUCGGGUACCCAAGUCUAGACCAAAACCCCAGGAUUUAAACCUAGAAAAUCAUAGCUUCAUGCCGGAUCCCUAGUAGGAACGCUUGUUUGCAUCGCGUGCAUUUGACUUAGGGGACUCAACAUAGGGGUUGGGUCCGUCUAGGACAGGUGUACCCAAAAUAACAGACCAUCUUGAUACAUCCUAUAUGCUACAUGUUGCAUUUCUUCAAGGGUAAAAGAGUCAUUUGGCAGACCAAUGAUAGUUGAGGGCAAAUAAAAAAAGAAUAAAAAGAGGGUGAAGUGUGAAAAUAAAGCGAGUAGGGCCCAAUUAUAUUUUCUGUCACAUUUUUGUUAAGAAUUAAAAAAAAAGAGCUUGAAAAUUCAAAAAAAAGAGAUUUUGCACUUUUUCAUCAUUUUUUCGAAAAAUACAAAAAAAUGGAAAAAGGAAAUUCAAAAGGAGUUUACAUGUAUCAUCAUUUUUCAAAAAAAAAAAAUAUAUUUUCUUUAAAAUUAGUCGUUUUUUUAAAAUUCUUGCCCGUAUCCAAUCGGCCUGAACUACGCAUACCUGAUUCUCGUCUUUCGGGGCGUGAUACGUAGGCAACCCACAUAGGGUUCAGUCUUCCUAGUAAAUCUUAGGUUCUUGGCUUCGCGGGGUCUUAGCCAAAUCUUGCAUUUUUAGCCAUUUUUAGCCACAUAGGUUAAUUUUAGAAAAUAGCCACAACCAUGUCUUGCACGUGUCUAGUAGAAAAUGUUAUUGUCUCACAUAGUGAUGGUUUUAGUUUUCUCAUACAGAUGCGGAUUUAUUUACCGGAGUUUGAGCAUGACAGAUUCCCCGUGACCAUCCAGUCAGAAUCGCUCAGUCAGGAGUUGCUUAAGGAGAUUUGUUUUAUUUUUAUGUUUUGAGUUUGUUCUUCAUUUUAUGUUAUCUUUUACUUUCUAGUUUUGUACAGUAAUGUCAAGUCUUUUGUUAUUUUAUUUUCUGCUUUAUAUUUGAAAAAAUGUGUUGUAACUCAAAAAUCCAAAAAAGUGAUGUUGCAUUUAUAUUUCCGUUAUAAGUUUUCUUUAGAAUA